rnacentral:lncRNA from 1 species
AAGAAACAAGAAUGUCUCUGGUGCAUUGUUCCUGAUAAAAUGCCCCCCUGGUGCCUGGAGGGGCUCAAGCAGGGUCCCUGCCACCCUCCACACUCACAGGUGUUACUGACUGUGCAAAGAAUGCAAGAAACCAGAGCAAGGUUAGGGGGGCUCCUCCAGCUGAUCAAGUCAAGCCAGUCUUCAGUGCCACAGGAUUUUUCUUCCAAGAAGAAGACAAAGGAAAGGCAGAGCACUCUUGCUUGCCUGGAGGUUUCUGCAUCUUCCAUCAGCUUGAGCUCUAAGCCUCUGUUGCCACUUCUGCCAUCAGCCUUUGUUCCUCCAGCUGAAAGUAGGAUGGGUGCUGGUAAAUCUCAGGGAACUUGCCAGACAUCCCCUGGCUGUAGGGUGCUGCUCCUCCCACCUGGACAUACAAGAUGGGGGAAGGAAACGUCUCUUCCAUGUUGACCAAACCUCUUCCCCUUGGAGCCUGGUUAGUCAGAAGAAAAUUCUUCCUCUCCCCUAAUGUCUUCAUUGCAGGACUUUGUUAGGUUUGUAUGCACAUUCCCAUCUCAAAUAGAAGGUAGGCCAUGAAGGCAGGAACUCCCUGUUCUUUCAGGAACAAAAGCAGAGUGGGCACAUGCUGGGCUGUGACUGCAGGGGGAACAAACAGCCAAGUUGUUUAGACAAACCUCAUUGGACAGAGCAGUUUUCUCUGAGGUGCUGCAAGUCCUAGGAGUUUAUAAAAUGUGAUGCCAUUAGUAAUGAGUUGCAUGCUUCCCUUUAGGCUGAUUCUGUCUCUGGAGGAAAAGAGCAUGGAUCUCAGAAUGCUGGAACAAAGGAACCUGGCGCUGAACAAUCAGCUGUCUCAGUUUCAUUCUGCUCUUCAGCAGGCUGAACUGGUCUCUUCAAGCCGUGCAGGACAACUGCAGCAGCUCAACACCCAGAUCCAGGCCCUGCAGGAUGCAGUGACAGAGAAGGCAGCUCAGCAGGACACUCGAGAGAAGGAGCUGCUGCAGGAGCUGGAAAAGUCCCGAGCAGGAGAACAGAGCUUGAGGGACGCUGUGCAUGUGCUGCAGGUUGAGAUGUCUGAGCUGCGUCUGAGGCUCCAGAGCUCUGAGGAAAGAGCAGAGGCCAUGGCCACACACUGUGAGGCCAUGGAGAUGGAGCUGAGGAUGGCUCAGGCUGACAACAACCAAAUCAAGGCCUGCAAACAGGAGCUGCAGACACUGUUGGAGGAAACUCAGCAAGCAAUAUGGAGGGCAGAACAGCAGAAGACCUCUCUAGAAACUGCCUUGAAGGAAGAGGCUGUGACUGUUCGUCAGGAGGUGGCAUCACUGCAGAGGAAACUGGAGAGCCAGGAGAAGGAAAGGCAGGAUGUGCUGCAUGAACGGGAAUUGUAUGAGGGGAAGAUGAGAGAUCUGGAAAAGAAGAUAGAAGUGCAUGGACCUACGAUGAGAAAUCAUAAGGGAAGCACUCAGCAAUUGGAAGUGGAGAGGGAAGGCAUGCAGGAAGAUUUGGAGCGUGGGGCUGCUGCUUUGGAGAAAUGGAUACAGAACACUCAAGUCCUGAGUGAUUCACCGAGGAAGAGUGAAAUUGCCAAAGGUUCUCUGAAGAAACACGUGGACAUCCUGACGGGAAAGAGGAAGAGUGAAAUUGCCAAAGGUUCUCUGAAGAAACACGUGGACAUCCUGACGGGAAAGACCUGUAUCCAGGUGGGUACAGGCUCUGACCUUCAGUCCACUCCAAUGACCAUGAAGGAUUCCAGUGAUAUUUCCCAUAAAGAAGUGGGACUCUAUAUCCCUGUGAGUCCAGGCCUGCUUGGCCAAAGCAGCCCAGGCUGCAGCAGGCAGCCUUGUCUGUCUGCCUGGCCCCAGCCAGAGACCAUUGACUGGCAGAUUGUUUCCUGGCACGCCCAGAAUGACUGCUACAGCUCUGGAGUUUGCUGUUCAGAUCAGCUGCAGGCCAAAUGCUGGGCAUGGGGAGCUGCUUCUCCUGUGCUCACACAAGAUCAUGGCAACACAUGGGGAUUUGGAUUUGGUGUGGGAGGGAAUGGAGCAGGUGAGCAGGGCGAUGGACUAAACCCAGCAGAGUUUUGUACCAAGAGAUGUGAGCAGCAACAGAUUCUCACCUCGGCUGAGAGAAAAGAACAGAGUGACGACACGUAG